CUUCGGCUCCGGGCGGCUCGGGAACCAGUGCGUAGAGCGAGGCUGUGGCGGAGCCUCAGAGAAGGCGCAAGCGGUUGGCAGCUUCCGUGGAAGCACGUGACAGCACCUGGGAGUCAAGAGCGACAGCGGCAAGCAGAACUACGGCGAGCUGGAAUCCCGUUCUGCUUCCAGAAGUGGAAGUGCUCACGGAUUGGGGAAAUCUGCAAGGCAUACCCCUGCAAGGUCUUGCUCCAAGGAAGAUUCCAGGCGUUCCAGAUCAAAGUCCAGGUCCAGAUCUGAAUCUAGGUCUAGAUCCAGAAGAAGCUCCCUAAGGCAUUAUGCAAGGCCACGGUCUCGGGCCCGCUCCCAUAGACGAUCCCGUAGCAGAUGUCACGGUCGAGAUUAUCGUAGACGGCACAGCCACAGCCAUUCUCCCAUGUCUACUCGCAGGCGCCAUGUUGGGAAUCGGGCAAAUCCUGAUCCAAACUGUUGUCUUGGAGUAUUUGGUUUGAGCUUGUACACCACAGAAAGAGAUCUAAGAGAAGUGUUCUCUAAGUAUGGUCCCAUUGCCGAUGUCUCUAUUGUACAUGACCAGCAGUCUAGACAUUCAAGAGGAUUUGCCUUUGUGUAUUUUGAAAAUGUAGAUGAUGCCAAGGAAGCUAAAGAACGUGCCAAUGGAAUGGAACUUGAUGGGUGUAGAAUCAGAGUUGAUUUCUCUAUAACAAAAAGACCACAUACCCCAACACCAGGAAUUUACAUGGGGCGACCUACCUAUGGCAGCUCUCGACGUCGGGAUUACUACCACAGAGGAUAUGAUUGAGGUUAUGAUGAUCGGGACUACUACAGCUGAUCAUACAGAGGAGGAGGUGGAGGAGGAUGAGGAUGGAGAGCUGCGCAAGACAGGGAUCAGAUUUAUAGAAGGCGGUCACCUUCUUACUACAGUCGUGGAGGAUACAGAUCACGUUCCAGAUCUCGAUCAUACUCACCUCGUCGCUAAAGACUUUCCGAAAUCUGCCCUUGAGCUGGGAUAUUGUUUGUGGACAAUAUUUUUUAUUGUCUCUUGUUUAAAAAGUGAACAGUGCCUAGUGAAGUUAGGUUACAUUUACACCUUUUAUGAUGACUACUUUUGGUGGAGUUGAAAUGCUGUUUUCAUUCUGCAUUUGUGUAGUUCGGUGCUGUGUUCAAAGUUUAGUGUUUUCAGAAAAGUAUGUUUUGCAUGUAUUUUUUAUAGUCUCAAUUUUGACUGCUGAGAAGUUUCUAUUGUACAAAACUUCAUUUAAAAGGUUUUUCUACUGAUCCAGGGUAUUCUGAAGAUCGAAGCCUGUGUGUAAAAUGCUACAAAUGGCAAAAAGCAACAAUAAACAGU